GAUGAACGCUGGCGGCGUGCCUAAUACAUGCAAGUCGAGCGAACAGAUGAGAAGCUUGCUUCUCUGAUGUUAGCGGCGGACGGGUGAGUAACACGUGGGUAACCUACCUAUAAGACUGGGAUAACUCCGGGAAACCGGGGCUAAUACCGGAUAAUAUUUUGAACCGCAUGGUUCAAUAGUGAAAGACGGUUUCGGCUGUCACUUAUAGAUGGACCCGCGCCGUAUUAGCUAGUUGGUAAGGUAACGGCUUACCAAGGCGACGAUACGUAGCCGACCUGAGAGGGUGAUCGGCCACACUGGAACUGAGACACGGUCCAG
rnacentral:rRNA from 1 species